AAGUUCUUACAUCAGCUCCAUUAGGACCUUGUGGACCUCUUGGACCUGGAGGACCAGGUGGACCCUGUAUCAAAAAGACAAUUUGGUAUAUUUAAAAAAAAAAGCUACUUACAGCUAUGCCAGGAGCACCAACAGGACCCUGGAGACCUGGUGGACCUGGAGGACCCUGCAACAAGCAUUGAAAAGGAAGAUUUCAACCGUGAAGGCCUAAAGGAGGCAAUUCUGCAUCAAUCAAUAGUGUGUCAUUUUAAUCUGGCUAUUAACUGUUCUACUGCAAAGGCCCCAAAGACCUGGCUUUGAAGUAAGAGUGGUACUGAGGUCUAAACAAAGGAGAUUGUGUUCCUCUUGUCACCCUUGGAGAACCACUUGGACCAGCAGGACCAGGAAGUCCUACAGGACCUUGUACUCCAUCACGUCCAGCUGGACCUUGAGGACCUUUUUCACCCUGGUUUUGAAGAAAAGGAAGUGAUGCACAUUAUCACAGGAGUUUAAUUAAGCUUUCAGUGCAGGAGCACCCUUCUCCCCUGCAGGGCCUGGAGGACCCUGAGGUCCAGGACGACCUGGUAGACCAAUUGGACCAGCAGUGCCUGCUGCUCCACGUUCUCCUGCACCUGGGAGGCCUUGUUCACCUGGUGGGCCAGGAGGACCUGGAUGACCUCUUUCACCAAUUGGGCCAGUCUCACCAGUAGGACCCUAAGCACAAAGUUUUGGUCACACUAUUCUGACUUCAAGAGGUUUACAACAACAGCACAGUAAAGCUCAUGUACUUACAGUCUCACCCCGCUGUCCUGGAUGUCCAGGCAAGCCAUCUUUACCAGGACCAGCAGCACCUGGGUCCCCAGAUGGACCUGCUCGACCUUUUGGACCUUCUGGACCAUCUUCUCCUCUUGGGCCAGGAAGAAGUAUUCUCUAUACAGUAGAUGGACGUUUGGCAACACAGUCUUGCGUGUUUUCAUUGGCUGAUAUGAUGGAAAGAAGAUAGAAAAGACAAUGGACAUUACAUUUCAUAUACAGAGUAGCAAAAACAGGUAUCACAGGAUCAUAUACAAAGCUCACUGCUAUAAGGAAGGUACUGCUCAUUUUCUUCAAUCACCAAUGCAAUUCUGUGGUUGUAAAGAGGUUUAACAAUACACUGAUUUUUAAAGAAUGGUGAAGUCUGCAAGUGAAUAUUGUUCUCAGCAUACAGAGAAAGGGAGGCCAGGAAGACCAUCGAAUCCUCUGUCACCCUUGGAGAGAAGAAAUCACAGUUUCCGUAAAUUACUGCUUACAGUCUAUAUUACUCUGAGUAAAUUGCACCUUCUUUCUGUGUUAAUUUUGAGUAAUGUUACACUUUUUUAUUGAAUGAAAUAUAUGGAAGGGGGGAGUACAACAAUAAAACUCUCAAAGUUUUCUCUAUGUAUUACAGCUAGAAAAUAUGUCACACCAGCUUCUUUACUGCACUGUAGGUAUGGUGUUUAUAAAAAGAAGUCUAAACUGAAUUGAAAAGCUCAAUUCUAGCUGUCCUUUGUAGUUACAAGAUUGAUUUCAUUACUGCUGAUACUCUGUAAAUAAAAAUGAAGAGGGACAUAAUCAUGCCCAAAGAAUUUAGUUAUUUCAAGGUCAGGCUACUAACCAUUACCAUUAAUUAGCAUAUUUCAAAUACAUGAUUCAUUCUCAGCUUUUGCAUUUGACCCAGCUAUCUGAAACCUCAAUAUUUUCACAUGAGAGGAGAAUUUUGGUUUGGCCUGGCUGGAAACUGUGGCGCUUGCUUAAAAUCCAUCCAGACCAUUCCAAGGU